rnacentral:misc_RNA from 1 species
CCAACCACUACUCCAUCGUCAACGGGCUCUACCCUCCCCACCAUGCAUCGUCAACAACGUCUUCUUCGACCCCCUCACCGGCGAGAAGUUCACCAUGAAAUCCCACUCGUGAGAUUCUUCCUAUGAUCCUUACAAUACAUCAACCUCAAAGUCUCAAUGUAAACCUCAACAUCGUUGCAAUCGAUGAUUUCACCUUAGUAUGGCACCGAGGAGCAUUGUUGCUGCUAGUUGGUCCAGCUAUCGGAGAGCUUGACCAAGAAGAACCUAUUGUGAGCAAUCACUAUUAGAAAACAGCCUUUUCACGU